GGAAGGGGUGUAUUUAUUAGAUUAAAAACCAAUGCCCUCCGGGGCUCACUGGUGAUUCAUGAUAACUCCUCGAAUCGCAUGGCCUUGCGCCGGCGAUGGUUCAUUCAAAUUUCUUCCCUAUCAACUUUCGAUGUUUGGGUAUUGGCCAAACAUGGUUGCAACGGGUAACGGAGGGUUAGGGCUCGACCCCGGAGAAGGAGCCUGAGAAACGGCUACUACAUCCAAGGAAGGCAGCAGGCGCGCAAAUUACCCAAUCCCGACACGGGGAGGUAGUGACAAUAAAUACUGAUACAGGGCUCUUUUGGGUCUUGUAAUUGGAAUGAGUACAAUUUAAAUCCCUUAACGAGGAACAAUUGGAGGGCAAGUCUGGUGCCAGCAGCCGCGGUAAUUCCAGCUCCAAUAGCGUAUAUUAAAGUUGUUGUGGUUAAAAAGCUCGUAGUUGAACCUUGGGCCUGGCUGGCCGGUCCGCCUCACCGCGUGUACUGGUCCGGCCGGGCCUUUCCCUCUGUGGAACCCCAUGCCCUUCACUGGGCGUGGCGGGGAACCAGGACUUUUAC
rnacentral:rRNA from 1 species